GAGUUUGAUCGUGGCUCAGAACGAACGCUGGCGGCGCGUUUUAAGCAUGCAAGUCGAGCGGUAAGGUCCUUCGGGACCCUAGAGCGGCGGACGGGUGAGUAACACGUGGAUAAUCUGCCUUCCAGUUUGGGAUAGCACAUGGAAACAUGUGAUAAUACCGAAUGAGAUACACUUGACGGAGGUUAAGAGUAGGAAAGCUCCUGCGGGAGCGCUGGAAGAUGAGUCCGCGGCCCAUUAGCUAGUUGGCGGGGUAAAGGCCCACCAAGGCGACGAUGGGUAGCCGGCCUGAGAGGGUGGACGGCCACAUUGGGACUGAGACACGGCCCAGACUCCUACGGGAGGCAGCAGCUAAGAAUCUUCCACAAUGGACGAAAGUCUGAUGGAGCGACGCCGCGUGAACGAUGAAGGCCGUAAGGUUGUAAAGUUC
rnacentral:rRNA from 1 species